GAAAGAAGGUGAGAACAUCCUUGUGGAUACAGGUGCUUAUCAUGCACCAAAUGUUGCGAAAUGGAAUGCGAAAAGGGUUUCAUUGAUGGGUAGUGGUAUCAAAUCUCUAGAUGAAACACCAAGAUCUCCCAAUCUGUUGACCUUAUUUCUCAGAGGAAUUUUUUUAAAGAGGAUUGUGGAUGACUUCUUUGAUUUCAUGCCUACGCUACGAGUUCUGGAUUUGUCUGAAAAUGUCCUUAUAACUCAACUGCCAACUGGAGUUGCAAAUCUAGUUUCAUUACAACAUCUGAAUUUGUCCAAAACAGGCAUAAAAUGGUUGCCGGAGGAGUUAGCAGCAUGUGCACGCCUAAAGUAUUUGAACUUAGAGCAUACAUUUAAGCUUGAUUAUGUUCCACCAAAUUUAUUAUCAAGUUUUCCGCUGCUUGAAGUUUUGAGAAUACUAGAUUGUGGUUCUUCUGACCGAAUUUUUUUUUAUAGUGAGGAAACCAUGAUAGACGAACUGCAGGGUUUGAAACACCUUGACGUCUUGUCUUUGACAGUUGGAAGUAGCUCUUGUUUCGAGAAUUUGGACAGCCACCACAUAUUAGUGACUUGCACUCUAACUUUAUGCCUCAAGGGCGAGGAUUACGGGAACCCUUCAAGCUAUCUUGAUUUAUCACCUGUGGCGAUGGCAAAUAUGAAACACCUUGAUACCCUUCAAAUUAAACGUAUGGUGGGUGUGUACUCUACGUGGAUAACACGUCUGGAAAAUCCGAAUCGCUUCCUUGGUCUUCAGUUCGUAGAAGUAGUAGAUUGCACAAAUCUCAAGAACCUGGAAUGGCUCGUUUUUGCUCCAAAUCUCAUCCACUUGCAUGUAUAUGGCUGCUCUAAAAUGACGGGAAUACUCGGUUUGAACAGAACGGAAACUACCCCAUUUGCAAAACUCACUGUUUUGCGUUUGAGCAAACUACCCCACUUGUGGAGAAUAUGCGAAAAUCCCUUGCCCGUUCCAUUUUUGAAGAAAAUCCUUAUAUCUGGAUGUCCAGUGCUCACUAGGCUGCCUCUCAACUCUAGCAGUGCUCAAACAAGUAAUCUCAUUAUUGAAGGAGAGGAAAAGUGGUGGAAUGGCUUAGAGUGGGAGGACCAAGCGGCUCGAAAUGCUUUUCUUCCCUGCUUCAGAUCCUGUAAGUGAGGAGGGGCUUCCUGAAAUGCCCGUUCACCAAUUUAAUUGGGUAAUGUCAGCAAAGUAACCGGGAGAUUUCACUUUGUUUCCUUUCCCAUGUUUGUUUUGAGUAGGAAUGGAAAACAAAGUUUGUAUAAUUUUUCAAUUAUACCCAUAUUAAAUCAAAUAAAAAAAGAAUGCAUUUAAUGAUACGUUGUAAUUCUAAAUUGUUCAUAGGGACAAAAUAGUCAUGAAAAUUGUGCAUUGAAUGUUGGCUCAUUUUCCCAAACUUUCCCAUGAUGAGGGAAAACAAAACCCAAGUUAAGAGGAGGGCUUCACUUUCCUCCUACUUUCCCAUGUGCCAGGCAACCAUUUCCCAUGCAUGGACUUACCAAACAUGGGAAAGCAAUUGAAUUCCUAUUCCCAAGCCUCCUUUCCUAUGAACCAAACGAGGCCUUAAGGCAAUGUAUUAUAAUCCGGCUAUGUACAUGAUGUCUGAACUUUAAUAAUUACAUGAUUGUCAAUAUGAUAUUACAUCAUAUUAUUAUUGCCAACAAAUCGUUCCAAUAUGUUGAUGGUUCUGAUUAAUUUUACAUCAAGAAGUCUCGAGGUAUGAAUUUUGACACAACAAGAGGUCUCUACGUAAUUUGCUAAUGUUUUCAUGUUAUAAGUUUGGUAAUGAGAUGUUAUAUUGUUAGUAUAUUUCCCUUUAUUAAUCCAACCCAACUAAUGUAAUGAAGAAACAGUGGUAUGUCAAUUAAAAUUUAUUCUUUUGUGAUAAUGGAUAAAAUAUAAAUAAAAAGAAUUUAUUCAUUAAAAUAUGUCUAACCCAUUGCCAGAGAAUACAUGAGACAAAUAUAACUAAUUUGACUUGUUCACAUGGAAUCAUUUCUUGUUCACAUGGAAUAGGGAGACUAAUGACUUGUUCACAUGGAAUAAUUUCUUGUUCUUAUAUAAUUAAUAAUGCUGAAGCUAAAGAAAGUUGACCCAAUAAUUAUUAAUUUGAACAAGCAUGAUAAGCAAUAUCCAAUAUUGAAAUUGGCCAGAAUAGUUUAUAAACUAUAUUACUUUAUAUUAUUAAUUAAUUCAUUUUCUCUUUGAUUUCUUUUGUAUAAAAUUGAAAAAUAUUAAUACUUCUCGUUUCAUUGAUUCAUUAUCAGAAGAUUCAGACCCAGAACCAACCAGUAGAGCUUUACUUAUUAAAAGAAGACUAUGAACUUGACAUGAACUUGAUUACUCUCUGAAUUUUUGUAUUGAUGGAGUUUCUUUACUUUUUCAUGUGCUCUAAACACAAAUGGGAAGUUGUUAAUGUACAUCAAAUUCACUCAGAUAAUGAAGGGUUUAGUCACUGAUCUCUCGGCAAGAUAACAUGGAAUUUAUCUCUAUCUAUUUGGAAAACCUUUUAAAGAGGUUUCAAAUCUCUAACGCCAUCUUCAAUGCUAAAAGGGCUAAAUCCAAAUUUUCACCCUUCAAAAUACAACUAUUCAUGUAUUGCCCGAACUCAAAUAGUUUUUUCCCCCAACCCUCCAGACUCACCAUAGCCUUAUUAAAUUGUCUAAAAAUAGUUUAACUCUUUUUGUUAAAAUAGUGAAACAUUCUUGAGCUAAGUUUUGUUUAUAACUUCAUGAUUUAUUUUUCCAAACAUUUUUAACCUAAAAAAUUAAAAUUUGACUAACUUAAUUUUAUUUCAAUUAAAAUGAAAACUUGUAGGCCAUUAUCCCAUAUAGCUUGAAUUAUUUUCUGAUUUGGUGCUCAUCUCCUCUUGUCUUCUUUCAAUUAUUUUUUGACUUUGUGUCCAUCUCCCUUAUCUCCUUCAGCUUUUCCUUUCUUGGAUUCUCUUUAUUUCAUCUAUAUCUCCUCAUCUAUUUCUUGAAUUAUUAUCUGACAUGGUUCACAUCCCACACUCUACAUAAAGCAUCAUCUUCUUGUGGUCUCAAAUUCACACCUCUUUGGGGUUUUGGGGCCAUAUUGAAAAGGAUUAAAAGGAGAAUGAACAAAAUUUUCAAAGUGAGAAAUGAACAAAAUUGAUUUUGGUGGGUUAUUUAACAAAUGAAUGGGUAUUUAUAGAGUUUAGGAUGAGUUUUGGGGUUACAUCUCAUUUUUACCAUUUAAUUAUUUUUUUUCCCAACUAGAUUUUAUUUUUGAACGUUGAAUCUAUUUUAUUUCCAUUGAAAUUUAAGAAUUAAUCCUCGCCUUUGAUCAUAUAGCCGUUGGAACAAUUUGAAAAAAGAAAACAAAGGCAAGUUUUAAUUGUGGCCAUUUGAUUUCAAUGGCAAUAUUCAUAUUGCAAUCCACGUGCCCCCAGGGGUGGCUGACACAAUGGGUCCACAAAACUGAAAGGGCACGAGGUUCCACCAGAUGUCAAGAUGAAAUCUCGGAGGUCCAAGCCCAAGCCACGGAUUUGCGCCCAAGAUUUUCAGAGGUCAAUGUGCAAGUGACAAAGGUCUCACAAGGAAAGAAAUCAAGGAGGUUGAUGACGAUUCAGAAUUUUCCAAAAUGAGAGAAAAUCAAGCAACCAUAAUAUCUCCGCCGACGUGAUCUACGGAUUUAGGGGGCCUUAAAAGGAAAGAUUUUUUAAAGAGUUGACAUUUGGCCAUUCAAUGGCCAACGCAUGGGCUAACGGACGCCCUAUAUAAACUUCACCAAACGAAGGCAGAAGACACCCAUCAUCAGACACACAAACCUAUUUUUCGUCUCACACUUUUCUUUUCUUAGACUUAUUAGGAUUUUACUUUUCAAGCACCUAGUGUAACAAGUCCUUCCUUUCCUUAGUGUAAGUUUAAAUCCUUGCAAUUUACAUUACAUUGUCAUUUAAAUUCAAGUUUAUUUCAAUCGCUUUCUUUUUCAUUGUUAUUGAAUUUUCAUUAAGUUUAAAUUCAAGUUUAAUUUAGUUUACUGUUCUUAUCGUUCUUAUUUCGUUCUUGUUUAUUUAUCGCUUUGAUCUAUUUUAUCGCACUUUAAUUCUCGUCUUUACGUUAUUUAUUUUACGCACUUUACUUUAUGCAUUUAUCUUUAAAUUAUAUUUAAUUUUAAGCACCUUUACUUUACGCACUUGUUCUUCGUUUCAUUACGUUUCACCUUCAAUCUUCAUCUCCACCCACUCCACAUCAUUUGGUUGCUCACAUAAAACCUUGACCUCGAGGUAGUGAAAGAACGUAGACCGUGAGGAGAUUCCUUGCUCGGCCGAUCAAUCAUUUGAUUAAAAGUUAGAAGCGCGACAUAUUCAACAUACACUCACAUUCCAUCCAAGCCAAAUUCGUGGCUUGGUGGUGGCAUGCCCGACACUCGAAAAAGAAGUAGGACCAAAAGUUCCUUUCAUUGGCUUACUCGGCCAAAAAGAGGGAAACAGGUGCGAAGAGGAAGAAGAAGAAGAAGAAGAAGGAGAGAGAGAGAGAGAGAGAGAGAGGUGGGAAGAGAUCGACACAUUGAAUGUGCAAAAAUGAAAAUGAUAUUGGUAUUAUAAAUUAGUACCGCAAUUACCGAUUUGCUCCAUGAUUGACAAAACCGACCCAUUCGGUUCGGUCUGUUUGUUUGUUUUUCAUAAUAAAAUGCCAAGCUUAGAUGUAAAUAUCUGUUUUCUCUACUUAUUCCGACCUUCCCUUGUUUAUAAAUGUCAAGUCCCAGUUUAACUUAUAAUCCAUGACUGUAUGAUGAUUGUGAUUAUAUAUUAUUGUAUCAUAUGAAAUCCUAUGUCUCAUUCCUUUUUCCAUGUAUUGCAUUAUAAUUUUCUAAAAUCAUUUUCUUGAGGAAAAAGUUUUAAUGACAAAAAUAUCGGGUCUCCACUCCAUGUACUCGACGAGCUUCCCGUUUACCUGGCAGAAGGCCAAAUGGUGAUAGCAUACUCAGCCUCGACCAACUCUCCCUUGUCAUCCCAUCUACUCAAUUAAACAUGUCACUAAUGGAUGCAAAAUACAGUCAGGGUAAGGUUUUUCAUUUUUCACAAACAUUUUGGUUUCAUAACAAUUUAGCUGAGGCGCAUAAUGUUUAGAACUUUCACUUAGGUAACCUUCUCAUCUGGGCUUUCUGAAUAUUUCAAUUUGGUCCAUUCCCAACUUAGAAAUGUUCAUCUGGAUUGCGAUACAUUGCGAAUUUGCAAACAUUGAAACAGAAUGGCUCUCAUUUCUUGAUUGAUACCCACUCAUUUGUUCUGAAAUUGCACCUGGGUUUUCUUAGCUCCAACUAUGUCUCGAGCGUAGUUUUCUUCUGGGUUCUUUGACAUUUCAACAAACAGUUUGAGCUCCAACUUGGUUUCAAGUUCUGUACCAACAUGAGCGAUUCUGGACCUACUUGCCAAUUCUUUGCCCCAUAUCUUGAAUCCGGUGACAACAAGCAUCAACUAAAGCCUGAAUUUCCUAAUGCUGAUAAAGAUUUCAAAGAUCACUCUGACAUUGAAAGCCAUCCUUUCAAGAAACCCAAAACUUCUGAAGUUGUAUUGAUCUCUACGAUGCCCAUGGCGCAGAAUAAAAUGUUGCCUUGUAAUUUCAAAACCAGACUUUGCAAUAACUUCAAAAUGGGUAAUUGCCAUUAUGGGCAGGGAUGUUGUUUUGCCCAUGGAAUCAGUGAUCUCCGCAAGACUUGGCGUAAUUGGCAAGGACUGGAAACUCAGGAGGGCUUCAAGGCCAGGACUUGUGAUCAUAGAAGAACUUCUGAUGAUGUUUGCAGAUUGUUCUUUAAUGGGGGAAAAUGCACAUAUGGAGACAAGUGCCGCUAUCCUCAUCAUGUAACUCCUGAAAACAUCAGAGAGAAGUCAGCGAUAAGCAUUUCAACUACUGGUGCUCACAUUGGUGGUUCUGAUCAAUUUGUUGAAAAUGUUGAUUAUUUUGGGUCCAGCAUAUGAUAGUUUUGCUGAUGUUUACUUGCUAUAAGUUUGGUCAUAUGAAUAUUUUACAUGUUAUAUUCUUAGUAUAUUUCACUUUUAUUAAUCCAACUAAUGUAAUGAAGUAACAUUGGUGUGCCAAAAUUAAAAUUUAUUAUUAGUCAUAGCUUAUCGUGUAAGGGACAUAGGAAAUUGUUUAUUUUACUUAUUUUGCCUAGAACAUGAAAACAAAUUGGUUGCUUGACUUCAUUAAAGUAUGUCUAGCCCAUUGUAAGAGGAUCAAUUGAUUUCUCAUGAGUCAUGGCCCAUAAGAACUCUAGUUUCGUUUCACUGGUUCAUUAUGUCAGAAGAGGCACCCAAGGGAUAUUGGUCUAAUGGACUUGGUAUUUGGAAUGCAUGAUUGGUGAUGGUAUUCAUAAUGCUGUUGCAAUUUUCUCAAUUCUUAUUUAGAAGGUGACCAGGCUUCUCCAAGGAAAUUGAUAUUAGAUAUGUAUGAUUUCAUAGUGGCCUUAUAAGGUUUUUGCUCUUGCUGCAAGUUGGUUUAUAAGUUUAUAGAGAGAGAGAGAUAUAGUCUUUCAGUGCCUGGUUGUCUGCUUGAUGCAUCGAAUGUUUGACAUGAACUUGAUUACUCUUCCCUUAAAUUUUUAUUUUUUUUUGUUGUUGUAUUGACAGAGUUUCUUUACUUUUUUUUUUUCUUUUUUUUUCCCAUGUGCUCUAAAGAGAAAUGGGAAGUUGUUAAUGUACAUAACCUUCAUUUUAGGCAUUUGGCAGUAUCUUUUCUAUUUUGUUUUUAAAGUACAUAACCUUCAUUUUGUACUGAUCAUUACAAAAAUGGCACCCAUUAUUGGUAGCCAUUUGUAGUGAUGAACCAGAGGCCGUUAUGUUUUUCCUGCAGAACCAAUCUAGAGUCAUGAAUUGUUGAUUGUUCACAUUCAUCAAUGUCCCUUUUGAUUGACUAAGAGAUGCUCAAUAUUGUGCGAUGUGCAAUGAUUCUCAGAAAACUAAACUCUGAGUCGUAUCAUUGUUUUACAGAACUAAUGAAGCUUUGUGGCUAUAUGGCAGUGGAAUCAAGAAGUGUGCAGAAUUUGAGGACUUCUUCUACAAGUAUGUCAAAACGUAGGAUGGGAAUUGGGGCUACUUAUCAUAAACAAGUGCAGGGUAUGGAAUGCAACUUCAAGUGGAACAAACUCGAGAAAAUGAGUCGCAUCUAUGCUGAUUGGAUUGAAGAUAUCCCUCUUGUACAUGGCUCAUCAAGCAAAGCGGAGUGCUGAUCGAGUUUAGUUUGAUAUGUGUAAAGGAAGAGAUUAGCUCUGUAUUCUUCCUGUACAGAUAGGAAGUUUGUUGUGUUUUCCUAGAUCUAACACCUUAGUUUUGUUGAACAAGUGCGGAUUGACGUUUGAUCUCGAUACAUGGCUUAUGGCUUAAUAAUCAGAAGAUGCUUCGAAUGAAUCCAACUCUGCUGAAUCAGGAGAAUCCAACUCGACCAGAAAACCAGCAAACCUAAGUCCCUACAAAGAGGGCUUCUUAUAUCUUGAUUUUCCCCUAUCUCUGUUAUCCAGGGAUUUCAGUCGUUACUUUGCUUUUUGUAAAGGCAUGUUUUCUUUUUACAAGAUGUGGUGUGUCAAAUGGAUGUAACUAGCAGAAAAUUGGUGAACUGACUUGAGAAUGUUAUUUGCCAGUACCUCUCAGAGAAUGCUCCUUAGCUAUGUGUGUUCUUGGUUGUGUGUGUAUGAAUCUGAUUUGUGGCUGCUCAAAAUCUACCUUAUGUGUUUGCUGCUGUGUUAGACUCUAGUUAAUUCCAGUUGGUAAAUUUGUAGAAAAUGAGUAAUGAGGAAUGGUUGGUGUUUCUUUAAAUGUUGUUCUCAGCAACAUUUGAUAACUACGCUCUUUGCAUUUGUUGUUCAGUGUUUCAAAUUCUUAUGCUCUUGUUCCUACUGUUUCCAUGGUUCCAUGGUUCCAUGGUAGCAGAACAGCACAAUAUAGCUUCUAUUGCUGCCAAAUUCUUGAUGUAUCUCUACUUUCCCAAUAUUCCUUUUCUAGCGAAUUAAAAUUGCGACGACACAAUUGUUCAUCUCUUUAUCAUCAUGCCAUUUUUUGGAUGCAGAAGUGAUGAGGGAAAUGCAGAAUGGAUAGGCCAGCAGACAUGCUAUUUGUAACUGGUCGUCCAAGAAGUUGAGAAAGUUGCUCUACAAAGCUGGCGCUUUAUGAAUUUUUUUUUUCAAUUAUUCCGUCAUCUGUAGUGUAGUGUAGCUUUGCUUACUUACCAGUAAAAGUAUGUUAAAAAAUAACUUCACUGAAUGCAAAGGUUUUUUACUGCGCCUCAAUCUGUUUGUUUUUCUAUAAUUAGCGGAUUUCAUUUUCAUGACAAGGAGGAAAACAGGGGAAAACAGAACUAGGGAAAGAAACUCUCUCGCCAUAAACUGCUGCUAUUUAAUUUACAGAUAUUUUCUCUACAGGCUACACUGCAGUCUGCAGCCAUACAAUACAAAAGCUCCCACGUCACCUUCUAAAUGCCAUAGUUGACUUUCAGCCUGCAAAGUCUUCCUGUAAGUGACAUUAUUGUUAGAACGGCCCGAUUCGGCCUGGCCUGGUCGGGAAGAGAUUCACAUAGAGACUGUCGUUACCCGGGAAUCUAUUUCUUUCUAUGUUAGCUAGCGGGGGCGGGCUUUCCUAUGGUAGUCCCGCUGCUGCCUCUGACCGUCCGUCCCGUCUCAUCUUGAUUUGGCUGUACUUGUAUGUAGCCACCCUCCACAUGAUAGCCUAAAACUUUUCCUUUCUAGACGCAGCUCGCCCUUUGUGAGUCUUUCUUCUCCCAAAAAUGUUCUGAGCUUAAGUGCAAAUGUGGUCUGAGGGAAAGGAUUUCUUCUUCUCUGCUUAGCUUAUUCUUGUGCUCAGAGAAAGCAAAGCAAUGGGUAGCGUCUUGUCAAUCUCCUUAUCAUGCGAUGCCAUUGUUUCACGCUGCUGGGAUUCCGUUUUUGAAAGAGAACCAAAUGUACGUAAGCUCCAAGAAAACCUUCAAGCUCUCACAACUUCUUUACAAGAACUCAAGUCUUUAAAGAAUGAUGUGCAGAGAGAGGUUGAGCUUGCAGAGCGGCAGCCGCGAUUAAAGCGGUUAGAGCGGGUAAAUAACUGGAUUUUAAGCGUGGAGGCUCUUGAGACUGAAAUGAACGAAGUUAUUGUAAGCCAUAGCACUCAAGAAAUUGAGAAAUUAUGCUGCGGAGGUUACUGCUCCAAGAACUACAGAUCCAGCUACAAGUAUGGAAAAAAAGUUGCUAGAAAGUUGGUGGAAGUGGAGGCUUUGAAAAGCAAGGGAGUUUUUGAAGAGGUGGCAGCAGAAAGCUUACCUACAGCUCUAGUGGAUGUGAUACCUAGUGAGCCAACAGUAGGCAUGGAGCCGAUUUUUGAUCAGGUUUGGAGACACGUUGAAGAUGAACAAGUGGGAAUGAUUGGCUUAUAUGGAAUGGGAGGGGUGGGGAAGACCACCCUCCUUACCCAGAUCCAUAACAACUUCAACCGCACUCGUAAUGAUUUCAAUCUUGUGAUCUGGAUUGUGGUAUCCAAGGGCCACAAAAUUGAAGUUAUUCAAGAUAAGAUUGGUGAAAAGAUUGGGCUGUCUAGUGGUGUAUGGAAGCUUAAACAGCAGCAUGAAAAAGCUGAAGACAUCUUCAGAAUCUUGAACACAAAGAAGUUUGUGUUAUUAAUGGAUGAUUUAUGGGAGCCAGUUGAAUUAACCAAAGUAGGGGUUCCAGCUCCUGACAGUCGGAACAAGUUCAAGAUAGUUUUCACAACUCGCUCUGAGGAGGUAUGUGGUCAUAUGGAUGCCCAGAAGAAGAUAAAGGUGGGGUGUUUGACUUGGGACAAAGCAUGGAACUUGUUUCAGAAGAAGGUUGGGAAACAAACACUUCUUCUUCAUCCAGAUAUCCCCAAGCUUGCUGAAAUUGUGGCGAACGAGUGUGGCGGUUUGCCACUGGCACUCAUCACAGUGGGCAGGGUCAUGGCCUGCAAGAAAACACCCCAAGAGUGGAAGCGUGCAGUUCAAGUCCUGAGAAGAUUUGCCUCCGAGUUUUCAGGAAUGGGAGAUAAGGUAUUCCCUCUUUUAAAAUUCAGUUACGAUAAUUUACCAAGUCAGAAAGUUAGAUCAUGUUUCUUAUACUGUGCUCUGUUUCCGGAAGAUUUUGUCAUACUUAAAGAUGACUUGGUAUAUUUUUGGAUGUGUGAGGAUAUAUUAGAUGAAUAUGGUAAUGUAGAGGAAGCCAAAAAUGAGAGUUACCAUAUCAUAGGAACUCUUCUUACCUCAUGUUUGUUGGAAGAUGAAGGAGAUUCAGUAAAAAUGCAUGAUGUAAUUCGUGACAUGGCAUUGUGGUUAGCUUGUGACCUUGGGAAAGAAGGCGAGAACAUCGUUGUGGAUACUGGUGCACCAAAUGUUGCGAAAUGGAAGAACGCGAAAAGGGUUUCAUUGAUGAGUAGUGGUAUCACAUCUCUAGAUGAAACACCAAGAUCUCCCAAUCUGUUGACCUUAUUUCUCAGAGGAAGUUCUUUAAAGAGGAUUGUGGAUGACUUCUUUGAUUUCAUGCCUAUGCUACGAGUUCUGGAUUUGUCUG
rnacentral:lncRNA from 1 species